rnacentral:sRNA from 1 species
GUCGGGUUCGGGAUGAACUGGUUGAUCACACCCCCCAUGACCGCGAAGGUGCGCUUGCCCUGGGUGAGCAUCUGCACGCCGCGACGCUUGAACUCCUU